rnacentral:lncRNA from 1 species
GGGGAAGUUGCCAGGAAUUAUCCUAGGCUCUUCAGACUGGAGCCACUAGGUGACAGCUCUGCAGGACAAGCUCAAAGGGCCUCCUGGCCCUGCAGGCUUCCCACAUCAUAUCCCUGGAGAUGAACCCUGGGUUGGAAUGGUCGGGUGGUCAGAUGCAACCCUGGAAACUUGGAGUUCUGAGCCUGGAGUGAGUGGCACUCUGAGGUUUAGUCAUCUCUUCCCUCACCAAUGAGGCACGACAACGUGGGCAGCUUUCUUGAUUCUGAAAGAUAAAGAUGUCACAAAUAAAAAUAAAACAACUACAUGUCUGCUCCACACUGACAUUGUUAUUUUUGGUCACCUCCUUAAACCAAGAAAUGUCUAUUAUCCCAGCCUCUAUUUUUUUCUGCAUAAUAAAUCAAAAUAUUUUUGCUAGGAAAAAAAGGGUGGGAUAGCAACAAACCCUGACAUGAAGGGUCAUAAUUAAAAGUUUUCCUAAUUUCAAAGUCAUGUGAUUUUUUUCAAAAGUAUACAAAUAAACACAUUGAAAGCUACACAUGAUCCACAAAUGUGGAGGUGGAUGGAUGAUUGUAUAAAGCAGAUGGAACUCUUGAGUUCUUUUUCUUCUAGCAAAACUUUCUAAAUAAAAUCAGAAUAUAUGCCCUGAUCUCCAAAGAGCAGUUAUUAGUAAACUUUUCCUCACUUUCCUAAUUUGGUUACACAAUUCAGAAAAGCCCCUGCUCAUUCUUUGGGGGUUGACAAUUCAACCCCUGAAUGUCUCUAGAAGUAUAUUCUUGCUUAAAGUCUGUCCCUCAAUUGCAGUAACAGUGAUGUACUAGUUUACCUAUUCUAAUAAUCUUUGACAAGAUCUUUGGCUCAAAGUGGAGGAGCAAGGAAAGAAAAAUACCCUAACAUAGGCAGAGUGUCCUCGAACGUGAACUUCCAAGCCUUUCUUACCCAGCAGCUAAGAGGUCCUCAUUCUCCCCCCACUUAGCAAAUUAUGUAUAAACAAAUUACCUUCCUGGGCUGGUUCCCUCUGAAUUACUCCUUAGCCUCCGAGUGGUUUUCCAUCAGGACGAACCUUUUCCUUUCCCUUAUGCACCAGCAAACAUACUGAUACAAUUUAAAGGUCAUGUUCUUUUCAAACUGACAGAGCCCUCCAAAGUUUUGACGAGAGGCCCUCCAAGCCUCACACCCUACAGGCGGAAAGGAAUUAAGUAAAGCAUCACUUGGUGGAAGCUCAAUCAUGUGAACUGAUUAGAAAACGAGUCUGUGGAGAAGGGGCCUUUGCAAGGUGAUGGGCAGCUCAUCCUGAAAGGAGAUGUCACACUGCAAGGAAGAGAGCCCCUGCCUCUGGGGGUGGGGGACCCUGCAUGCAAGGGUCAAUGAAGAUAUAAUUACCUUCCCACAAGAAGCCUCUUUAUUUCCAAAUCCCCAAUGAAUGCCACUUAAUUAGCCUCACCUUGUGAUUCACAGAUAGUCCAAGUUUACCCCUAAACCCAAAACUGAAUUAACAGCAUCAUUUCUUAGGCUCAGAAGGACAUUUCCUUGGUACUAAAGAAUUGCCAAGAGUAUGGAUUCUGCAUAAAUAUGCAUUGUGUGUAGACAUUGAUAUAUUUAUUUACAGGUGCAUUUGUGUUAUCAGGGGACAGGUAGUUCAUGAUUUUUUUCCUGCCUCUGAAAUAAAAAGGGAGCAAUUGAGAUGAUACCAUGGCGUGGAUGACAUGGCAGAUGCAGUCUUCUGGGAAUCCAAUCGUGAAACUGGGUAUUCCGCUGCUAAUAUUACUAUUAUUAUUUGAUGGUUUUGUGUUGAUUACUUUGUCCUUGAACUUAAAACUGCUGAAGUUCUCCUGAGAUGUGACACUGCUUGAUGGUCCCAGAGGCUCCUGAUGUUCUAUCUUAAAUUGGUGCACAUGUGAUGAUGUCAUCGGUCCCAAAGAAGGAGACCAUGGAGAGGACCCCAGACAAGGAUGUGCUAGGUGGCUUGCACCCCUCACUCAGCUCAGCACUCUGUCCAAGGCCAUUCCUCUCAGGCUCUCCUUCCUGCCUGGCCCCUCCUGAUUCACCUGAGUGUCCCCUCUUCAAGAGACACUCUGUAACUUUAAGCUUUAUCUUUUAGAACAAAACUGUUCUAACUCCAAACAUGUGCCAAGAACUGGAAUAAUUUGGUUGGGGAUGGGGGCUUCUUUGGUUGUGACUUCACACACAACUUCUAAGUGAUCCCGGAGUUUGUAGAGCUUGUUAAAUUUUUACAGGAAUAACUUUCCUUUGAAGCUUUCCCUUGCUCAGUUUAAUUGACUGAUGUGCCAAAGUCCAUGACCUUUGUUGCCCCUGACCUGGGAAACUGGGGUUGUAAUUCUGGAAUUCAGUCAUCAAAUGGGUUCUUCCUGUCAUUGCUCUUCAGUUGACCUGGUGUCACUCUGUACUACAUCACGUGUCUUUCCAAAAUGAAGUACCCGCUUCUCUCCAUCUACACUAGCCUCAACCAUUUCCUCCAGCUGCCCUAACUCCUCUUCCAAACUUGUCCUGAGGACCCCAGAGAAAGAAUCAUGGUGGUUCAUGGCAGUCCAUCUUCCCAAUCUUCUUCCCACUCCUGCCCCCAUGGUGGUCUUCCCCAAGGUCUGUAUGUACUGUGGGCACAUGUUCAACCUGUGGAUAAGAGACAGGACAUCCCAAAGCAGACAGUCAUUGCCCUCAAAAUCCAGACUAUGCCUCCCAUGGCCAUGCAAUCAACAAGCCAAGAGUGUUCAGAAACCAUGAGAAAAGAGCACCGGUGUUCUUAUGAAGAUUACACUUCAUGGCUUUUUUUUUAAUUAAUUUUAUUGGUACAUUUUAGGUGUACAAUAGAAUGACAUUCAUCAUUGGAAAUUUGCACCUUUACAUAAUCUCUCUUGGUUGUUAUUUUUUCCCCAUUCCCCUGCCCUCCCUUCAACCCCUUCAUCCUUCCCUAUUUACUGUCAGGACGCUUUUUUAUAAGACCUUUGCAUAUUCUUAUUAUGCGGGGGUGGAAGGGAGGAGGUGAAGUAGAUGAGAACUCAAUAAUCAAUCAGCAUUUACUAAACACCUUUUAUUGCCAAGCCUUCCAGCUAUUGGCUGGAGAUGCAAAAAAUAGGAUUCUGUCCUGCAUUUUAGGAGGCUCUCAGUGGCUUCAAGAGAUGGUCCCUGAAAGAAGCAAUUAAUUGUGUGGUCAUCUUGGAUGGACUACAGGUUAAUGGAAACUGAUAAGGACAUGUGCGAAGUUUUUCAAAGGUGACAAAGAUUUGGGUUCCCAUAUUUUAAUUUGGUCUCUUUCCUAAAUGAUUGCCACACUGGUUACUCAUUCAGUAAAACAUUGUGAAAUAUGGUGAGACUAACACAUCCAAUACUCAGAUCCUCUCUCUUCCAUAUAAGAUGAGGAGCUUUCUUUUAAAGCAGGAUGGAAGGUGGAUCCCAAGUGGGCUCUUCCCAAACUUGCUAAAUCAGUCUCCCUCCAGUUCUGGAGGAGGGAUCUGCACAGCUGCUCACCAGUGCCACAGAGGGAAUGAAUCCAAGACCUUGAAAUAGCUGAGGCUCUUUCCUUAUUUAAAACUUUGUUCCUGGAAGAAGUUUAGGGAUGUUUUAGAAAUGUCUUAAAUUUGUCCUUCAGAGUAGCAUCUCCUCCUUCCCUGGGGAGUCACUGUUUCUGUUCUCUAUGAAGAUGACAGGACAGAGCUGUGAUCUAUAGAUAAAGAGGGGUUGGGCCGGUGAGGACCCCUCACUCCCACAACCAAGCAAAUGCUUUCAACCGAGCAUGAGGGACAGGGUUCAGCUUGCCCCAAAGGGGCGAGACAACCCAAGCCAGGGGGAGGGAGGGUUAUGUUUUAAAUCUUUUAGGACACUUCUACUUAUUAUCAACAACUGUCUUUUAAAAUACUUUUCAUGGAACUUUCAUUUAUCUGUUUUCAUGAGGCGCAAACCCACUGUGCUACAGCAAGCUCAAACCAAGCAAGCAUUUGAGAGAAACACUCCUCGGGUCUAUGGAGAAAUAAUGAAAUGAAGUCCCUAUCAUUUCAUAGCAGCCCAUUUAUGACAAACCUGACCAAUACCAGCAGCCCCAUGCCUGAAUGUCUGAUGUGCGCGAGGUCCAUUUCAACCAAGAGGAAAGGACCGAGUCUCCUAGACCUGGCUUUAGAAGUGGCUUCCUUAUUGUUUUCCCCCUCCAGUACUGGGGAUAUAACAUACGGCCUUGGCACUGAACUACACCCCCAAACCCCUCUUUUAUUUUUUUACUUUGAGCAGGGCCUAUCUAAGUUACUGCUAAGUUGCCCAGUCUGGGCUCAAACUUGCCAUCUAAGGGGGGGCCACCCUGGAGAUGUGUCUGUACUUUGGAAGACUCUGGAUCCUAUACCUGGCCAGUUUCCCAUGACUAAGCAAAGUGCUAUGGGCUGUUGAUUCCUCCUACAUGCAGAUGCUGUGCUGCUCAGACGCCAUCCCAAGGCUGCAAGCAGGCUCCCCAACUAUCCACGUCUGGAGGUCAGCAGGAGCAGGCCAUCAGAAACACAUAGUUCUGGCGCUUCGGGUUAAACCCUGCCUAUUUCUUCAAAGAUACAGCAUCAUUAAGCUGGAUGAUAUUUUCCUCUCCUGUGCAAAAGCAAUAAAAGCCACCAGCCUGGGCUGUGUAUCCUGCCUGUGCUGCUAACAAGACACAUUCCUUUUUGUUCACGGCAAGUAGUGUAAGUUUCUGUCUUAUGUCACAAUUCCUGACAAGUGCUCCAGCACUAAAACAGUAUCUUGGCACCAAGAAAAUGACCAUCCUUUUAAAAAGAUGAAACUCCCAAGGACACCAAAAGGGUAAGAUUUCAUGGGAGAUAUGCAGCACAAAAGCCAGCCCCUCCUCUUAACCCAGAAGCCAUCCCAUCCAAUCAUGUCAGAACUGUUCUAACAACCAACUUCAAGACAGAAACCGAAAAACUUUCUUGACUCAAAUCACUUGCCUGGGGUUGAUGUUUAAUAUUUCUACACAUCUCAUGAACAGAGGGCAUGGGUAACUUAUGGGGAAAGCCUGAUUCUGAUUCACAUUCUUUUUUUCCACUUUUUAUAAUUAUUUUAAUUCCCUGUGCUUCUUGUGGAUCCUUAAGAAGACUGAAUUCUCAGACCAUAUUAUCCCUUCUCUCAGUUUGUAGUGCAGAAGCCUUAAUCAAAGAGUUGUUUAAAAGUUUAAGGAAAUAGAAAUGCUAAUGACCCUAAUUUGGUCAUGGCAUGUUAGAUAGAUAGAUAGAUAGAUAGAUAGAUAGAUAGAUAGAUAGAUAGAUCACUGUACUCCACAAAUAUGUAUGAUUAAAAAUAAUGAUUGUAGUAGUCAGCUCUCUGUUGCUGGCAACAAAUACCUGACAUCCACCACUUAAAGGAGAGAAGGUUAAUUUGGCUCAUGGUUUCAGAGGGUUUGGUCCAUAGUCAGCUGGUUCCCAGGCAGGAAUAUCAUGGCAGAAUUGUAUGGUGGAAGAAAGCUGCUCAUUUUGUGGUGGUUGGGAGGCAGAGCAGGGGAACAGCACUAGAGAGAAAGAGAAGAGAGUCGGGGAUCAGAUAUAGACUCUACUAAGGUCAUGCCUCAGUGACCCAACUGGACACAUCUAGAAGUCUGGGUGCUCCCAAGCCUAUCAAUUUGGCAAUCCAUCUUAACUAUCACAAUAAUAAUUAAUUAAUAAUACAAUAAUUUUUUACAAAGUGUACGCCCCUGAAGAGAGUCCUGUGAUGAAAAAAAUAUAACAGGCUUGAAUUUCAUAAACAUCAUUAACUUCCUUCUUAAAUAUAUAAUGCAAUUUAGUUUAAUAAAAUAUAGCAUCUAUGGACACAAGUAUGUUUCAGGAACACAAUAAGAAAAGGCCAUAGCAACUGAAAAUCAUGGCUUAUUUAUGUGUUUAGAUCCUUGCAUUUCAGAGCAUGCUGGUGACCUUGCAGUCUAAAAGCUAUGACUGUUUAUCAUCGUCAUCCCAAGAAUACAAGAGGAGACAAAAACUGAACCUACUAAACAGAAUGCAAGCAAAAUCCUAACCCCAAUGCUUGACCCAGGAAGCCCUGGAAUUUGGAAGAAUGAAGGAAAGGGUCAGGGGGUUUACUCAAGCCCUCUGGCUUCACCAUCAUGUCCCUCAGUCUCCCUCAUGAAGUCUGAGCCUUGCAGUGUGAAUGUUACUUGGAAAUCAAGGUCUAUGUACAACAACACUGGCAUUCUGAGAUGAAGUUCAGACCUCAUGUACUGAGUCUCAGUGAUGUUGGGUAUUGACAGGACAUAGUAUCUCUAAUAUUUCUGCUUUUAAAAAAAAUACCAGAACCAUAAAAAGUUAAGAUCCAAAUGUGUUCUGCUUUGGCUGAGCAAUAUUCAAGUCAGAAAAAGUUCCGGAAGUACAGGUAGCAUUGUGGAGAGGCCAGGCUGUGUCCCCUAACCACAGGAGCCCAGAUGUCCACCCAGCCCGUCCUCCCCAUUCCACUGGGACAACUCCCUAUGGACACAAGGCCCACUCAAUCAGGCAAAGGCCCCUCCUUCAUCCCCAGCCUCUCCCACCCAGAGACAGUUGGAAGCCGGGCUCGUUGGGUGGGGCCUUCAGCCUACAUGUGGAUGUCCCAGAUUCCCAGGAAAUACGUCCCUGUCUCCCUGCUCACAUUCCAAGGCCCCCUGCCAGUUCAUGCUUACCCAUCUGGACUCUAGCUGGUGACAUGAAAUCCAGGCUGGGGUGCAACAGAGACUGCCAUCCUGGGAAGGAAAUACUCAAGCAGCCUCCCACGUUCCAGCCCAGAGCAUACUCUAAAGGACAUUUUUUUUGCAGUCCUGGGGAUUGAACCCAGGGCCUUUCUACUGAGCUACCUCCACAGACUCUCUAUUUUUCACUUUUAGACCAGGUCUCACUAAGUUGCUAAGUUGUCCAGGCUGGGCUGGAAUGUGCAAUCUUUCUGCCUCAGCCUCCAAGGGUUCUGAGAUUACAGGCAUGCACCACCAUGCCUGGCUUCCAAGGGUUUUAUAGAAUGACAACAAAGUUCCCAUAAAUAAAGGAAGCAAGUCAGGGAUUUUAGAUAUCUCCUGCCAUGGAUCCUAACCCUCAAGAGGGAGUAGAACCUCUCUGGAUGAUUUUUCCCAGGAAUGCUAGGAAAGGGAGGGAGAAAGGCACUUUUGGGAACAGAACAUUCCCCAGGGCUCCAGACAUCUGGAUGGGUGCAUGUAUGUCUUUGUCUUUCAACUAGGCAGUUCAAUCUCAGGUUAUUUUAUUUGACAAAUAAAACUAAACUGCAUAUUUAUGGACUAAUGAUGUGAGAUAUUGCUCUUUUAUUCGUAUCCACUGCUAUUUAAAGACCAACUGUAAAUAUUACUGGGACUUUUUGCAAGUUGAUAUGACAUAGGUAGGUGGCCCAGAAUAUGGUAUUGUGACUCUGUUAAUGAUAUUGUCUUCAAGGUCAAGGUCAUGACUUUACCUUUUCUUCAGCUACUCAUCCAGAAAAUCUCCUCUCAAUGUCCACAGAAUGGAAUCAUGCAUCUUUACAGCAAUUACUCCUGCCAGGCUUCAUUCUGAGCUUGGGUUCGAGAGCUGGCAGGAGCAUGCUGGACCGUGGUCUUGACAUUCAGCAUCGUGAGGGACUAUUUGGUCACAAGGACAGAAAGAAGCUGCAGGGUAACCACCCUGUCAUGGAACUGAGACAGCUCCCCAUUCCCCUGGCCAUUCCCAUGGGCCAAUGAGCACCCGUCACACUGAAGAACAUGUAUUAGAUGUUGGUUGAAGAUGAGUUUGGGGAAUACAGUUGCAACCAUAAUGUGUUCUGUCAUGUGGCCAGUUCUGCCACAAAAAUAGGAGAGGAGGAAGUCAGGUCACCUUUUCUUUCAAGGGAGAAAAGAGCUUUAGUAGGACAAGCUAAAAGGAGGGUCCCUAUUGGUCCAAGCACCCUGCCCAAAGGACACUGAUCCAGUGGGUGGCAGUGGGCAAGGGAACAAAUCUGAGCCUCAAAUCCACCAGAAGUAGAGCAGGUACCAGAAGGAUGCAGUGUUCUCAAACACCAAUUGCUGCCAAGUGUGGGGCCUUAGCAGUGUCUCAGCAGGCCUGGAUGGACAGAGCAGCCUGUGUGCUCAGGCAGUUCUAGUGGGAUAAUGAUAUAUGUUAAAUCCAUGUGUUGUGUUUCCAAGGGCUCAGGCUGUCCACAGCAAGAUGGAGGUGGGGGACCUAUAGGGGAAAUACCAGAUAGACCUCAUUUCUGAAGGGUCACCUGGUGGAUGGGACAGUCCCUCUGGGGUAUCUUCCAGCUCAGGGAUGACCCAGACCAGCAUCACUCAAAUAGAACCUCUCCCCUACAGAAGCCACAUCACAGGUCAAGGACCAAGGCAUGAGUCAGUGGGGAGAGAGGACUCCAUACAGCAUGAAUGUACAAGAAGCUGUGUUCACCAGCAACUCCUGCUCUGGAUAAACCCAUUCUGUUGGCCAUGGGGAUAAAGACACACAUAACCAUUGGCUUGUCUAACAAGGGUUCUGAUCCUGAAUGGCUUCUGGGUGGCCUUCAGCAAUGGUGUGUUCCAAGCAGGGAUGUUGCUUCUGCCUCCAGCCUUCUCUCUUUACUCACCAGUCUGACUCAAUCCUUACCCAGAAGCUCACCCAAAGCCAAAAAUGGCUGGCACCAAUGCCUAAGCUCUCCCAUGGAGUUCCUAACCCAGGAUUCUUCCAAAGGGCUGGAAAGGCUGUAGAUGCCUGACUCUUGUCCCUGUCUCCCAAGGGUGUUCUGUUGGCCUUAUUCCUGAACAAGGCACCUGCUGGCUUAGAGGAAGACACCUGAACAAGUUUGUGCAUCAGGGACUUCAGAUCUGCAAAGAAGAAUACAAGAUGGCCCCAGGGCUCAGAGCCAGCAUUGCAAAGCUGUGGAGGUGCUGCCAGCAGAGUGCUCUGUCCGAUGGAGACCGGUAUGAGACAGUAAUGGAUCCUGGUAGGGAGGAUGAGAAGAUUUCAGGGAGCAAGGAGCAGGUCAGAAGAGCAAAGUGUCAGUAGGCAAAGAAAGGGAAGGCAGCUGGCCAAGCCAAAGGUAGAACAACAGGAAACUCCCUCUGUGGGUUCUCUGUAUGACUGUGCUAAGAAAAAUACCAACUAGUAGUUCCAGGUUCAAAGACCUGCACACCCCUCUCUGCAGGCCUCUUUAUUCUUCUCCAUCCAUGUGCUCCUGUGUUCUCUGAGCCCCCAUCCUGCUGGCUCCUCCCACCCCAGAGUCUUUGCAGAUCCCAGGCUUUCCUUGGUCUGCUCUUUUGGGAUUUCAGGUUUUAACCUCAAGACCUACAUAUGGUUGACCAUGAUAUCCCCUGGGGGAUUUUGUGCAUAGCACCUACUACUCUCUGAAAUUAUGUGAUUGUGUACAUGUUCAUCAGCUGCUCCUCUGAAGCAUAUUGUCUCCAUAAAAACAGUUGCCUUGGGAGUAACUGUGCCUUGCUUCUCUUUACAUGUACCUGGCACUCAAGAAAAUGCCUGGUCUUUUUGCUGAAGACCAGAGAAGAUAGGGGAAAAAAAACAAAAACAGUUGUUUUGUUUGCUUUGUUCAGUAUUUGCUGAGGCUGGGACAACACGUGCUCCCAAGAAUCCUCAGCAGCUGACUUCCUGGUGGGUGAGUGACAGAAGGAAUGGCAAUGCCCUAAAAGCUCAGAGAGGAAAAACAAAUGGAAAGAUGCAAUUGGCCUCUUCUUUGAUGGGCACCAAUGAUUGGAAUCUGUGGCUCUGUCUCCUUUCACCUCUCUAAGAGUUUGUGAAGCAGCCAAAGACAUGUAGCUCAGGUCACUGGAAACCAACCAGGGCAAAGCUGAUGAACUCGCUGCAGAAAUCGCUGGUCAUUUUCCACUUUGGGGUGGAAAACUACAGUGGAGGUCUCCAUGGAGACCUGCACAGAAGGCUCAAUGAGGGCCUGGGGCUGGGUAGCUGAUGGAGGGGAGGAGAGGAAAUUUGCACUCACUCCAAGACAAGUGCUGCAGAAAGCUGUGGCUCCACAUCACUGAUAGAGUCAUCCAUCCAGGGCUCCAGGUGCAAGAUCCAUUUGGAAAAUGGGCUUUUGAAUGAGGUUCUGCAGUGGCUCCCUUCCCCCAAGAGAAGCUUCAACACACCCCAGGCAGGGCCCAGGUGUGUCCCCUACAAUGUGUGGGAACAGCUAGUCCUGAGCAUGGCCCAGUCCAGACUCAGCUCUUGGGAACCACACACUCUGGUGAGCACCAAGAGUCAGAUGCCCAGUGCACAUAAAAGCUUCCAGAAAGACUCCAAUAUUCAGGCUCUACAGAGAAGGAAGGGGUCAGAAUGCAGAGAAGGACAUAAUGAGAGAAACCACAGCUCCAUAUUGAUGGAAGGUUAAUGGAGGGGUUGCCUUGUGCCUCAGGAAUGGGGGUUUCUGGGUCACCUGUGGAUAAACUCACAGAAACACCUGUUAGAUAAACAGGCUGCAGAAACACCUCCUGGCUACUCUGCAAACAUGUUAAACACAAGCCUUUGAGCUUAGAUUCAGCUGCUACUAGCUUUUUGAAAGGUUAGGUAAAAAAUAUAACCUCUCAGCGACCUACUCUUCUUCUUAUGUGCUUGAACUACUAGGAGAAUGGACCAGUAUCACCAAUUCUUGACCCUCAGUUCAUGCUCAGAAACAAAUCUUCUCCCAGCAUCCCUCUGUACCUCCUUUCAAUGCUCUGUCCAACAGAAACCCAGUGAACACUUGGGUCUGAUGGGUGAGCCCAGCUGAAUCAUCCCUAACUGCCCACAUGUCCUGCCCUAGCUGAAAGUUGAGGACCCUGCUCACCCAUUCUAUCCACCUCUAUCUUCUGACCUUUAUUCUCUCUGUCUCUACCUCAUGAUCGGGCUCCCCUCUGCAUCACUACCCAGGUGGAAUUCUUUGCCCAUUUCCUCCUCAUUCCAGAAGAGUAGAUGUGGGAACCCUGAAAAGUUUGCAUGAUGAGAAGCUGAGAUUUGGGGCCACAGAACAUCAGAGCUUUAGGCUACAGAACAGCACAGAAAAAUCCCACUCACCAAGUUUCUUGAAAAGAAUUCCUGCAAGGGGCACUCAUCAGGAAGUGGAACUUAGAAAGGACUUUCCAGAAUUACAAUUUUCAAAGUCUCAUUGGCCAAAGGGAGCAAAUAGAGUGGGAAGAGAAGUCCCCUUCCACAGAAACCUUAGUAUUUGCAAGAGAGAGACAGGCAGGCAAGCCUCCAGCAUCCUCCUGGCCAGGGAGAGGCCAGGGAUUGGGGAAGUUUGGUGUUUCCCUGAGGAAGCAAAAGAUGAAGGAUUUGUGUUUUGUUUGAAUUGAUAAUGAUGUCAGUUUCAGUUAUGGGCUCAUUACAACAAACCUGGGACAUAUUAACAGCUCUUUAAUUGAAUUUGGAAAUAAGAAGGAGGGUUUUGAAUGAUCUUGUAAAUAGUGGAUGCAAGGAACCUGCAGCAACUGUCUUUCAUAUUAAACAUAAAGGGACAGAACACAGUUUUCCCAGUGCUGUCCCCCUCUGACCCUUCACCAGGUCCCCAAAUGCCACCACUGCAAGGCAAUUUUAAUCAUCCCUGAGCUCAUGGGUGAUAAAGAAAAAGUUUAGACCAGGAGAAAGUCCCAGAGAGUGAAAACUGGGCCUAUGACGUACACACCUUUUCGGUUUUUAUGCCAAAUCUUCAACAG